AACGACCAUGCCGUGCUGAAUAUACCGGUUCUCGUUAGAUCACCGAAGUCAAGCAUCAUUGGGCGUGGUCAGUACUUCGGUGGUGGCCACCUGGGAACACCGCGUGCCGUU